CACGUAGGGUGCGAGCGUUGUCCGGAAUUAUUGGGCGUAAAGAGCUCGUAGGCGGUUUGUCGCGUCGGCCGUGAAAACUUGGGGCUUAACCCCAAGCCUGCGGUCGAUACGGGCAGACUUGAGUUCGGCAGGGGAGACUGGAAUUCCCGGUGUAGCGGUGAAAUGCGCAGAUAUCAGGAGGAACACCGGUGGCGAAGGCGGGUCUCUGGGCCGAUACUGACGCUGAGGAGCGAAAGCGUGGGGAGCGAACAGG
rnacentral:rRNA from 1 species